UAGUUCCCCGACCAGGGAAUCGAACCCACUCCCCUGCAGUGAAAGCAUGGAGUCUUAACCGCUGGACCGCCAGGGAAGUCCCUGUCUCCCUCUUCAAUCUGACCCUCCUCUAUUCCCUGUUUCAGACAGCAACUCACCCAGCACCAGUAGCCGAAGCCAUAAGCUUGAGAGAUACCCUAGACUUAACUUCCUCCGUCAUCUGACCAAGUACUGCUAUUUUUAUCCCCAGAAUAUUUUUGCAGUCCAUCUCUCUUUAUCCCAUCCUCCAAAUCUGUGUCUUUCUCUUGGGUUCUUCUAGUAACCAGCAGACUCAUCCCCUUCAGUCCACCCUCUGCCGCCAACCGCUGAGCUCAAGUAUAGCUGUGUCUUCCCUGCAGAAAAUCCUGCACCCACUGCCAACAAGUUCCUUACCAGACAGUAGGGCCCUACUUCGUGACCUGAUCCCGGCCACAGCUUGAACCACAGGUCACCCCACCCAUGAGUUCACGCUCCAGCCAUAUCCCUGCCUGAACAAAUGACAUCUGUGCACACGGGGCGCUUCCAUGUCUCCUGCUCUUGCCAUGGGGCUGACCCUGGCAGAGCCUUAGAAACUCUGCUCAGGCUUCACUGCCCAGGAACGCCUUUCUCAAGCCUCACUCCUCAGCUUCUGCUGAACUACUCUCAGUUUUCACAGAUUUUUAAUACUUCUGUUUUUCGUUUAUUACACAAAACAUGGUAUUUAUAAUUUAGAAAAUACUGAUUAGUGAAAAUAAGCCAAUGUUAUUUCUACCACGUGGUGGUAAUCUUUAACAUUUUGGUAUGUGUUUUAUGGAAAUGGAAUCAUGCUGUUUAUAGUCUCUUUUCACUUAAAACACCAAUCUUUCAUUGUGUAAAAUUAUUUCUAUUUAACCAAUCCCAUAUCAUUGGAUAUUCAGUUGUAUGCCAUUAAUAUACUUUUUGUUACAUGUAUGUAUCAUGUUGAAUUUUCUCUUUAUUUUGACAAAUUUCAAACAGGAUAGUUGACAGUGGUACAGUGAACGCCCAUAUACAUGCAUAUACCUGUCAGCUAGUCACCAUUUGUUAACAGUUUUGCUACUGUUCUUUUUCCUGAACCAUUUGAAAGUCAGCUGCAGACAUCUUGAUGCUUCAAGAUGUAGUAAGUAUGCAUCUCCUGAGAAUAAGGUUAGUUUACUACAUAAUACUGAUUAUAUCUAAGAAAUUUAACACUUGUUUUAUCACCUAUGUAGAGUUCAAUUGUCCUCAAAAUGUCUUUUUAAGUUUUUUUUCCCCCAAACCUUUCAAGCUUCACAUUUCCCAUGAAGUUGAUGUCUUUGGUCUCCUUUAAUUUAGUUACCCUGUCCUUUUUGUCCCAUAUCAUUGGGUUUUUUUUUAAAGUCCCACCUUCUGGAUUUGUUUCCUCAUCAGUUUUAUCAGCACCAGAGGUGACAUGUCCUCAGUUUAUCACGUCAGGUAUUGGUGAUGCUGAAUGUGAAACAUCAUGUGGAUUUUAACUGUCUCCCUUAUUAGAUGGCGAGCUACCUGAGAGCAGAGGCAAUCUUAUCCUUGUGUACCGAGGCCCUGCCUCGGGGAGUGUGCCGCACAUGGUGAUGUCUCCGGAGAGCAACUUGUUUCAAGUACCCUGCUGGAAAGUCAUAUUUUUGAUAUGCACGAAUACCAAUGACAAAUCAGACAAAUCUCUAAAAAUGCCAAGCAACGUCAAUAUAAAGCAAGCACUUUAGAGACGUAAUUAAAAAACUGAAGACAGAAAAACGUUGGUUUUAUAGAUUUAUUUUCAACAGGCAAAAACACUUAAGACAAUUUAAGUACAAGUCUAAACAGAAUUACUCUGUCCAAGUCAGCAAUGAUGCAGAGAUGCGUUCUCACUUCCAGACACUCGCCAGCAUCUUCUGAGUCUUCUCUCAGUGAAGAAAAGGGGUCUGGCAAAAGAUAAGUUCAGUGUUUCUCUCUGGUGCUACUGACUUUAAGUGAUAAUCUCUGAGGUGCUAAAUCCAGGAUGACUAAAGUUAUAGACUCUAAUAAAAUGUUUUAUUUUAAAA